rnacentral:rRNA from 1 species
AUUGAACGCUGGCGGCAGGCCUAACAAAUGCAAGUCGAGCGAGCGGCGGACGGGUGAGUAAUGUCUGGGAAACUGCCUGAUGGAGGGGGAUAACUACUGGAAACGGUAGCUAAUACCGCAUACCAUCAGAUGUGCCCAGAUUGGAUUAGCUAGUAGGUUGGGUAACGGCUUACCUAGGCGACGAUCCCUAGCUGGUCGUAGAGGCAGAUCAGCCACACUGGAACUAAGACCCGGUCCAAACUCCUACGAGAGGAAGCAGUGGGGAAUAUUGCACAAUGGGCGAGAGACUGAUGCAGCCAUGCCGCGUGUGUGAAGAAGACUUUCGGGUUGUAAAGCACUUUCAGCGGGGAGGCGUUACCCGCAGAAGAGGCACCGGCUAACUACGUGCCAGCCGCCGCGGUAAUUC